AACUAUUUCUGCAUCUCAUUACCUGUAUCUAUUUGUGUUUUUCUGGGGGGGGGGUGACUUUCUGUGCCUGUCAGGAAGAAGAAACAGGACGAGGAGGAGGCAGACGUGAAAAGAAAGGCCAUAGAUACAGCCUAUCUAGCCAGACAGGCAGUGAAGAACACCCCUAAACGAGUGCCCAGUGUGACCGUGCGCUCUCCCCCGGGGUGCGGCUCGCCAAGCCUCGAGUUCUGCCAAGGGGACAUACCCCAGAGCACACCCGAGGACCCCAGCACCUCAGUGACUACCCCAGAAGCAGCAGGGUUCAUGCCCCUGACUGAGGCCUGUGGGAUGGUUGGUGCAGAGUCAGGCCUGGGCACUCUUCUGGAUGACUCUCCACAAAAGAAGCUCUUGGGCCAGAAAGCCACGCCACCACCAUCCCCUCUCCUCUCUAAGCUACUGAAGAAAGGCAGUUUCAUACCCACAAGCCCCAGACUGGUUGGAGAUGGUGACCUGCCUGGUAAUAUGACAAUAGCACAUGACCUACAGCUCACAGGCUCCAUUCUCCCUGGCUGUCUAGCAACAGGUGCCCCUACACUCUCUCGUCUGCUGGAGGCCGGGCCUCAGUUCUCAGCUCCGCUGGGCUCCUUGGCCAGCAGCACAGACUCCUCCAGUGCCCUUCUCACUGCUGCUGCACCCCCCCACUAUGGACUCCCCCACCUCACUACACACAGGCAGGGAUGAGGUGGAGGCCUCCCCGUCUGGCCCAGAGGAGGGGACAGAAGAGGGCCUAGUGACGGUGCCUCUACAUGGGAGAUGAAUUGGACCUUGAGACAGUGGGGGACAUCAUCGCCAUCAUUGAGGACAAGGGUGAUGAGAAUGCAGAGGCUCUGGAUGCGGCUGCAGUGGAGGCCGCUCUGUCUCUGUGUGAGGAGACGCCCUGUCUGGCCCCCCCUGGGAGCCCGGGCCCUUCAAGCCUCCUGAGUCUAACCCUGCCACCCCCACACGGGCCCCACAAGCCUCCUCCUACUCCUCCCCCCUCCACGGCAGUCUGGAGGUGAAGAGGGAGAGCCUGGAGACACGGGUGGGGCCUCUGCAUGUGACAGCCUGAACAGCUGUACCUCAGGGUACACACACCCCCUGAGCACCAGUGGCCUUUCUCCCUCCUGCUCGUCUAUGAUGCUGGAGCACAGCCAGCCUAUUGGCGCUCGUCUGCAGCAUGGGGUCAUGUGCGGGGCCAAUGUGGAGGGAAGCCCUGUCUCUCCCCAUGCCACCAUCAAGUGUGAGAGUGAAGAGUGGAUGCAGCAAGGAGCUGACACACCACACGCAGACUCUGAGGGUGGCUCCAUGACAAGAGGACACUCCAAGCUACACGUCCCACUGAAGAGAGAACAGACUUGAGCUGAGACCUGUUUUCCUUUUGUUAGAACAGGGCUCUUCAACCUUUUCUUGCCAAGGGACCCCCGCCCAGGCGACCCAGGGAACCCCAUCAUAAGUUAACAACAAAAAAGUCCUGUCUUAUUAUCAAUCACAUUAAUUUAUUACAUUUCAUUUUACAUUUAAGUCAUUUAGCAGACACUCUUAUCCAGAGCGACUUACAAAUUGGUGCAUUCACCUUAUGACAUCCAGUGGAACAGUCACUUUACAAUAGUGCAUCUAAA